AAGUCGUAACAAGGUUUCCGUAGGUGAACCUGCGGAAGGAUCAUUAUUGAAUAAUCUUGAUGGAUUGUUGCUGGCUCUUCAAAGGAGCAAGUGCACAUCUGUCAUUUUUAUCUUUCCACCAUGUGCACUAUGCAUAGACUUGACAUUUCUGUGAUCAAACUUUGUUUUUGAUUUUUGGAGAUUGCUGUUUGUGAUAACAGCUUUUUCUGUGUUCAAGUUCUAUGAAUUUAUAUACACGCCUAUGCAUGUCAAAGAAUGUUAUAAAGGGUUUUUAAAAUCCUAUAAAGUUAAAUACAACUUUCAGCAGCGGAUCUCUUGGCUCUC
rnacentral:misc_RNA from 1 species